rnacentral:lncRNA from 1 species
CCGCAGCAGAGUGCUUUGCCCAUGCUGCUAUCCGCCGCCGAAGCGCUCAAGGGAUUCGUGCUUGAAUGUCGAGAUCAGGGGACUCUAUCCAAUCCAUGCGGCAAAAUCUGUUUGUGGUGGAAAAAAGUCAACAAUAAAGAAAAAAGAAAUAAAUAGAAUAUAGAAAAUCAUUGAAUUUAUUUGCUCCGAUACAAGAGAUCGGCCCCGAAGCAAGAUAUGGUGGGUGCCAGCAACUUUCACUUGUUAGGAGUAGGGGCUGAAAAGAGCUCUUUGUAUAGGUUGGGUUUUCUGGGAUUUGAUGCUUACCUUCU